AUUGAACGCUGGCGGCAUGCCUUACACAUGCAAGUCGAACGGUAACGCGGGGCAACCUGGCGACGAGUGGCGAACGGGUGAGUAAUGCAUCGGAACGUGCCCAGAAGUGGGGGAUAGCCCGGCGAAAGCCGGAUUAAUACCGCAUGAGACCUGAGGGUGAAAGCGGGGGAUCGCAAGACCUCGCGCUUUUGGAGCGGCCGAUGUCAGAUUAGCUAGUUGGUGGGGUAAAGGCCUACCAAGGCGACGAUCUGUAGCUGGUCUGAGAGGACGACCAGCCACACUGGGACUGAGACACGGCCCAGACUCCUACGGGAGGCAGCAGUGGGGAAUUUUGGGCAAGGGGCGCAAGCCUGAUCCAGCCAUGCCGCGUGCGGGAAGAAGGCCUUCGGGUUGUAAACCGCUUUUGUCAGGGAAGAAACGCUCUGGGCUAAUACCCUGGGGUAAUGACGGUACCUGAAGAAUAAGCACCGGCUAACUACGUG
rnacentral:rRNA from 1 species